GACGAACGCUGGCGGCGUGCUUAACACAUGCAAGUCAAGGGGGCUUUGGGGGCAACCCUGGGGCAACCGGCGAACGGGUGCGUAACACGUGAGCGACCUACCGCGGUGCGGGGGAUAGCCGGCCCAACGGCCGGGUAAUACCGCAUACGUUCUUUUGGGGGCAUCCCUGGGAGAGGAAACCUGCCGGGUAAGACCGGUGGGGCAGCGCGCGGGGCUCGCGGCCUAUCAGCUAGUUGGCGGGGUAACGGCCCACCAAGGCGAUGACGGGAGCUGGUCUGAGAGGAUGGCCAGCCACAUUGGGACUGAGAGACGGCCCCAGACUCCUACGGGAGGCAGCAGUGGGGAAUAUUGGACAAUGGGCGCAAGCCUGAUCCAGCCAUGCCGCGUGAGUGAUGAAGGCCCUAGGGUUGUAAAGCUCUUUUGUGCGGGAAGAUAAUGACGGUACCGCAAGAAUAAGCCCCGGCUAACUUCGUGCCAGCAGCCGCUGUAAGACCUGA
rnacentral:rRNA from 1 species